rnacentral:rRNA from 1 species
AUGGUUUACUGUUCUCACUGUGAUGAUGAUUGCCCAUAUGUAAAGGAUCCUGACAACGGGUUCACAUGUUGCGGAAUGUGCGGCAAGGUUAUUGAUCAGGAUAUGUAUACUGAUGAGCCUACUUUUGUCAAGGACUCCUCGGGACAGAGUCGGCUUAGUGGACACAUUAUAGGCAUUGCGAAGGGCGGUUCACUAUCCCGUGAAAGAACUGAAGAGAAAGGGAGAGACGAGAUCUGGCAGAUUGUCCAUGGCCUGCAUGUGAGUGGUGGAGAUGAUAUCAUUUGCACUGCUCAUAACUUUUAUAAACUAGCUCUUGACAAUAACUUUACUAGGGGCCGCCGAACAACUCAUGUUGCAGCUUCUUGCCUUUACAUUGCUUGCCGGCGAAGUGAAAAACCCUAUCUUCUUAUUGAUUUCUCGGACUAUUUGCAUAUAAGUGUAUAUGUCCUAGGUGCUAUUUUUCUGCAGCUUUGCCAAGUUUUGCUACUCGGAGAACACCCAAUUGUUCAAAAGCUUGUAGAUCCUAGCCUUUUCAUCCACCGUUUUACCGAACGUUUAUUGGGGAAAAGGGACAAUGCUGUCUCGGACACAGCUUUACGCAUUGUAGCUAGCAUGAAGCGAGACUGGAUGCAGACUGGGAGGAAGCCAAGUGGUUUAUGCGGUGCAGCAUUAUAUAUAGCUGCACUUUCUCAUGGACAUAUGUACACCAAGGCAGAUAUUUCUGCUGUUGUGCAUGUCUGUGAGGCAACACUAUUUAAGCGCUUGAUAGAGUUUGAAAAUACAGAUUCUGGUAGCUUAACGAUUGAAGAUUUUUUGGCAAAGGCUGAUGAAGAGCCGGUUUCAAAAUGUUUAGCCAAGUCUGGAGAAGUCCUUUGCGAGCACAAGGAUAAGGGUGCUGAGCAUUUUUCUCAUGGACUUUGUGAGGAAUGCUACGACAAUUUCACAGAACUGUCAGGUGGACUGGAGGGUGGUGCUGACCCUCCAGCUUUCCAGCGAGCUGAAAAACAAAGGCUGGAUGCUGCUAAAAGAGCCAAGGAAGCUGCUGUGGACGAGGCAAUAUGUGAGUUACAUAAUUCUGAUUUUGAAGAUAACAUCAUGAGCCCUGGGAAGAAGUCUGAAGGCAAAUCUUCGGCAAUUGCUUCCAGCCAAAUUGCAAAUGAUUUUGUUGAUUUCAAAGAUUCGGAAGUGGAAGGUGAAAAUGGUAAAACUGGUUCUGAUGCAGAAAAUCUUUCUGAUAUUGAUGAUGCGGAGGUUGACGGUUAUCUUCACAGUGAAGAAGAAACACAAACCAAAAAGAUUAUCUGGGAGGAAAUGAACAAAGAAUACCUAGAGGAACAAGCUGCAAAGGAAGCUUUAGCGGCUGAACUGGCAGCUAGAGGUGUAUCUGUUGGAGAGGGACGGCAGAAGAAACGAAAACGUAAUGAAGACAAGAACUCCACACCUGCUGAAACACCAGCAGAAGCAACAUACAACAUGUUGAAACGAAAGGGACUUGGGUCUAAAGUCAAUGUUGAAGCUGUUAGUGGAUUGUACAAGAUUGAAGACGAAGAUGGGAAAGCAAAUGGCAAAGAUGACAUGCACUUCGACGAGCAUUAUGAAGAGGAUACUGGUUAUGGUGAAACAUUUGAUGUCAGUUAUGAUUAUGGUCACGAUGCUGAUUACAACAACGAUGGCUACGUUGAUGAUGGUGGUGGUGGAGCCUAUGAGGAUUACCAUGACGCUGAUUACUAG